rnacentral:rRNA from 1 species
AUUGAACGCUGGCGGCAGGCCUAACACAUGCAAGUCGAGCGGAUGAAGGGAGCUUGCUCCUGGAUUCAGCGGCGGACGGGUGAGUAAUGCCUAGGAAUCUGCCUGGUAGUGGGGGAUAACGUCCGGAAACGGGCGCUAAUACCGCAUACGUCCUGAGGGAGAAAGUGGGGGAUCUUCGGACCUCACGCUGUCAGAUGAGCCUAGGUCGGAUUAGCUAGUUGGUGGGGUAAAGGCCUACCAAGGCGACGAUCCGUAACUGGUCUGAGAGGAUGAUCAUUCACACUGGAACUGAGACACGGUCCAGACUCCUACGGGAGGCAGCAGUGGGGAAUAUUGGACAAUGGGCGAAAGCCUGAUCCAGCCAUGCCGCGUGUGUGAAGAAGGUCUUCGGAUUGUAAAGCACUUUAAGUUGGGAGGAAGGGCAGUAAGUUAAUACCUUGCUGUUUUGACGUUACCAACAGAAUAAGCACCGGCUAACUUCGUG